CGAACUAAAGAUGGCGACCGGCGCACGGGUGAGUAACACGUAUCCAACCUGCCGAUAACUCGGGGAUAGCCUUUCGAAAGAAAGAUUAAUAUCCGAUAGUAUAUUAAAACCGCAUGGUUUUACUAUUAAAGAAUUUCGGUUAUCGAUGGGGAUGCGUUCCAUUAGUUUGUUGGUGGGGUAACGGCCCACCAAGACUACGAUGGAUAGGGGUUCUGAGAGGAAGGUCCCCCACAUUGGAACUGAGACACGGUCCAA
rnacentral:rRNA from 1 species